AGAGAGAGACAUGCGCGCAUAUCAAUAAGCGGAGGAAAAGAAACUAACAAGGAUUCCCUUAGUAACGGCGAGUGAAGCGGGAAGAGCUCAAAUUUGAAAUCUUCAAGGUUUUACCUUGACGAAUUGUAGUUUAAAGAAGUGUUUUCUGCUGAAGUUUUGGUAAAAGUUCUUUGGAAUAGGACAUCAUAGAGGGUGAGAAUCCCGUAUUUGACCAUUAUUUUCAGCUUUGUGAUACACUUUCAAAGAGUCGGAUUGUUUGGGAAUGCAGUCCAAAAUGGGUGGUAAAUUUCAUCUAAAGCUAAAUAUUGGCGAGAGACCGAUAGCGAACAAGUACCGUGAGGGAAAGAUGAAAAGAACUUUGAAAAGAGAGUUAAACAGUACGUGAAAUUGUCAAAAGGGAAGCGUUUGACACCAGUGUUGUUUUCUCGAAAAUCAAUUAGAAAUGGCUCGAUUUUGUAUUGCUUGAGACCUUAAAAGCUCACUGUACAUUUUUCGUGUCCUUUUUAAUGCACUUUUCGUUUAACAAGUCAACAUCAGUUUCUUUUGUUGUAAAAGGGUCAUUGGAAGGUGGCUUUCUUUUCGGAGAAAGUGUUUAUAGCCUUUGGCCUCUACAAUCGGAGAGACUGAGGUCUGCAGCGUAGACUCUUCGGGGUUAGAUACAUUUGUGCUAAGUUAUAGCUUUUUAUAGACAACUUGUUGACUAUAAUUAGUCUUGUAGCUUACUCGCUUAUGCUAUUUUACCUACGCUUAGGAUGUUGAGUCGUAGAGCACGCAG
rnacentral:rRNA from 1 species